CCCUCCCGGUUAGGUAACCUGCGGAGGGAUCAUUAUAGAGUUCUAACAAACUCCCAAACCCAUGUGAACAUACCUCUCGUUGCCUCGGCAGGCGCCGCCCUACCCCUCGUAGGCGAAACCUGCCGACGGCCCCCGAAACUCUGUUUUAUAUAGCAUUAGACCUCUGAAACAAAGAUAACUAAAUCAGUUAAAACUUUCAACAACGGAUCUCUUGGUUCUGGCAUCGAUGAAGAACGCAGCGAAAUGCGAUAAGUAAUGUGAAUUGCAGAAUUCAGUGAAUCAUCGAAUCUUUGAACGCACAUUGCGCCCACCAGUAUUCUGGUGGGCAUGCCUGUUCGAGCGUCAUUUCAACCCUUAAGCCCUAGUUGCUUAGCGUUGGGAGCCUACCGGACCCUGUCCCGUAGCUCCCCAAAGUCAGUGGCGGAGCCGGUUUAACACUCCAGACGUAGUAGCUUUUACACAUCGCCUGUAGCCUAAGCCCGGCGCCCUGCCGUAAAACACCCCCCAAUGUAUAGGUUGACCUCGGAUCAGGUAGGAAUACCCGCUGAACUUAAGCAUAUCAAUA
rnacentral:rRNA from 1 species